AUACGGAGGAUGCAAGCGUUAUCCGGAUUUAUUGGGUUUAAAGGGUGCGUAGGCGGUUUGCUAAGCGGGAGGUGAAAUGCCGGCGCUCAACGUCGGAAGUGCCUCCCGAACUGGUGGACUUGAAUGACUCUGCCGUGGGAGGAAUGUGUAGUGUAGCGGUGAAAUGCUUAGAGGUUACACAGAACACCGAUUGCGAAGGCAUCUGACGAAUGGUUGAUGGACAGUGAGGCACGAAAGCGUGGGGAUCAAGCAGGAUUAGAUACCCUGGUAGUCCACGCAGUAAACGAUGAUGGCUAACAGCUGGGCUUAUCAGUUCAGUGGCCAAGCGAAAGCGAUAAGCCCUCCGCCUGGGGAGUACGGCCGCAAGGUUGAAACUCAAAUGAAUUGACGGGG
rnacentral:rRNA from 1 species